rnacentral:rRNA from 1 species
UUCCUACGGGACGCAGCAGUGGGGGAUAUUGCACAAUGGGGGGAACCCUGAUGCAGCGACGCCGCGUGGGUGAAGGAGUGCUUCGGCAUGUAAAGCCCUAUCGGCAGGGAAGAAGCAAGACGGUACCUGACUAAGAAGCCCCGGCUAACCACGAGCCAGCAGCCGCGGUAAUACGUAGGGGGCGAGCGUUAUCCGGAUUCACUUGGUGUAAAGGGAGCGUAGACGGCCAAGCAAGCCAGGGGGGAAAACCCGGGGCCCAACCCCGGGACUGCCCUUGGAACUGCAGGG